UACGUAGGGUGCGAGCGUUAAUCGGAAUUACUGGGCGUAAAGCGUGCGCAGGCGGUUGUGCAAGACCGAUGUGAAAUCCCCGGGCUUAACCUGGGAAUGGCAUUGGUGACUGCACGGCUAGAGUGUGUCAGAGGGGGGGUAGAAUUCCACGUGUAGCAGUGAAAUGCGUAGAGAUGUGGAGGAAUACCGAUGGCGAAGGCAGCCCCCCUGGGAUAACACUGACGCUCAUGCACGAAAGCGUGGGGAGCAAACAGG
rnacentral:rRNA from 1 species